rnacentral:misc_RNA from 1 species
AGUUAUUCAAAUCCUAUGGUUGGGCACUUCCACCCAUCAUCUUAUCUUGGCUGAUAGCUACUGGCCCCAAAGCUUUCCUUAUGGCAUUAGCCCUUCCUCUAGGGCAGUCAGCCCUAACUUUUGUGUUUGGAAAGUUGUGGGGGAGCACACAAAGUAAGCCAAACUCCAAGGCCAGAAAGAAGAGGAAACCAUUUGGCAGCUCUUCCAGCAAUGUUGAAAUGGAUGAUG